UGGAUGAAGCAUGGAGAACAUUUGACUGGAGACAGAAGGAAGCGCUGAAAGAACGUCUAGAAAAGUUUACUCCGAGUAAUCCAGAGGUGACAAACAUCAAGAUCCUGGUGGCUGGACAAAUUGGAGCAGGGAAGUCCAGCUUUAUUAACUCUGUCCUUAGUGCCUUUCAAGGAAAAAUAGUUAAUGAAGCACUAGCUGAUGUUUCGGAAUCAGGCCCCACUCGCAGUUUCACAACAAGACUGAGAACAUACCGCAUCAGAAGUGCAGAUGCAGAUUUGCCUUUUGAAUUCUGUGACAUAAAAGGUUUAGAACCUGAAAAAAUAUCUGAGUGUCAACCAGAUGACAUUGUCCACACCAUAUAUGGACAUGUGAAGGAGGGAUAUAAAG